rnacentral:rRNA from 1 species
GUGGGGAAUCUUGCGCAAUGGGCGAAAGCCUGACGCAGCCAUGCCGCGUGAAUGAUGAAGGUCUUAGGAUUGUAAAAUUCUUUCACCGGGGACGAUAAUGACGGUACCCGGAGAAGAAGCCCCGGCUAACUUCGUGCCAGCAGCCGCGGUAAUACGAAGGGGGCUAGCGUUGCUCGGAAUUACUGGGCGUAAAGGGAGCGUAGGCGGACAUUUAAGUCAGGGGUGAAAUCCCGAGGCUCAACCUCGGAACUGCCUUUGAUACUGGGUGUCUUGAGUGUGAGAGAGGUGAGUGGAACUCCGAGUGUAGAGGUGAAAUUCGUAGAUAUUCGGAAGAACACCAGUGGCGAAGGCGACUCACUGGCCCGUUACUGACGCUGAGGCGCGAAAGCGUGGGGAGCAAACAGGAUUAGAUACCCGGGUAGUCC